AUGAGGCAGAAGACAGAGCCACUGAGCUCACACAGACACGCCCAGUGCCAAGGACCAGAGGGCCUUUGUGGCCUAUGGGUAGGGGACCUAAUUGGUGGGAACAGGUGCAAAGCCAGAGCAUGUGCAGCCAUGGAGACUGAAGAGCAGCACCAAGCUAAGGACAGCUUUACAAAGAGUGUCAGAAGUGUCACUCCUCACAGCUUCCCAAUGCCUAGAGAGAUGGAAAGGAGUACCAUCACUGUGGCCAUCUUAAGAUCUCCUGGUGCAUGUUUUUUCUCACAAAGUGAAGCAAACCAGUCAACUGGAAUGGGAUAAAUCUUUGGAUGGUGAGCAUGCUAUGGCAAAUGAUAUAAACUGGACUAGAGGUUCUGAUCUUCAUGGUGGCUCUCUUAAAGAAGUUCUGAUUUAUUGGAUAUGAAAGUCAGAGCCCUAUGCAAGAGUUUUUUUGUAGAAGAAUCAACGAAUACUUGACUCAUUUGUGAAAUGUUGGUGCCAGUCAAGACAGACUUGUAAGUUGAUUUUGUGCCAGUUAAGACUGAUUAGACUUUUUAACUGUGAUGGAUGGUCAAUGGUCACGUAAUGAUGGCCCCAUCUACACACUGGCCACAAAAUGAUGAGAAUUGUGGAAUACAAUUAGAUAGAACACAUAGCUCAGCUAUGUGGCUGAUAACAAAAAGUCUCACUGCUGCCUAGGUAUUAAACAGUAAAGCAGAAAAAAUGUAAACAGUAGUUGGUUGUGCCUGUGAGACUUGGUCAGAGUCUUGGUGGUCUACCUGGGAGAAACAGGGAAUAGUAGAAAGAGCACUAGGAUUGGUUCUGAUGGGGGGUUCAGACUAACUCCAUCACUUUCUGUGUUAUUUUGGGCAAUUUAAUGCUUAGAAUCUCUAGUUAUGUAUCUCUAAAACAUAAUCAUCAGGCAUCUUAUAGGGAUUCUUCUGAGGGAAGUGUUGUCAUUCAAAAUAAGACUCUCAAGAAAGAUACCUGGGUCAUCUCUCAGUUAUUAUCCUAUAAAUUAUUCAUAAGGCAGAUUUUCUACUAUACUUUUUAAUCCUAAAUUGGCUUCUCCUUUUGCUACUGGGACACUUCCAAGAAAGCUCCCCCUGCCAAACAGC
rnacentral:lncRNA from 1 species